UUAGUGGCGAACGGGUGAGUAACACGUGAGCAACCUGCCCCUAACUCUGGGAUAACGCUUCGAAAGGAGUGCUAAUACCGGAUAUGAGCCUGGAAGACAUCUUCCGGGUUGGAAAGUUUUUCGGUUAGGGAUGGGCUCGCGGCCUAUCAGCUUGUUGGUGGGGUAAAGGCUCACCAAGGCGACGACGGGUAUCCGGCCUGAGAGGGCGACCGGACACACUGGGACUGAGACACGGCCCAGACUCC
rnacentral:rRNA from 1 species